rnacentral:rRNA from 1 species
UACGAAGGGGCUAGCGUUGUUCGGAAUCACUGGGCGUAAAGCGCACGUAGGCGGAUUUUUAAGUCAGGGGUGAAAUCCCGAGGCUCAACCUCGGAACUGCCUUUGAUACUGGAGAUCUUGAGUCCGGAAGAGGUAAGUGGAACUGCGAGUGUAGAGGUGAAAUUCGUAGAUAUUCGCAAGAACACCAGUGGCGAAGGCGGCUUACUGGUCCGGAACUGACGCUGAGGUGCGAAAGCGUGGGGAGCAAACAGGG